rnacentral:pre_miRNA from 1 species
GCACCAUGUUGGGCUGCAUCAGUCAUGCCAUGUUAUGAAACCUAACACGAUGUGACUGAUGCAGGCUGACAUGA